UGAGGAUCGGACCCAGGGCCCCGCACGUGCCAGGCAGGUGCCCCGGCCCCCACCCCCCACCUCAUUUCCUUUAUAGUAUUUUCCAGGCACCAACCCUGAUGUGGGGGGCGUGGAAUAAGUUUGGUGGGAAUUUGGGAGCAGAGAAGAACCCUGUUACUCCUCUGGGGAGACUUCAUUUCCCUCCUGGGAUAGGAAUGGCCCCAUGGGAGGCCACUGUGUUGGCGGUAAUGUGUUAAAGCAGCGGUGGGAAACUAAUGCAGACCUGAAUGCAGUGGACACCCCGAGAGUUAUUGGGGAAGAACAUUUCAGGUGGGAGCAAUGGGUCCAGGACUGUCCUGUCACCCCUGUCCUGGAGGACAGGUUUCCAGCCAGGCGGUGGCUGAGAGCAGCCCUUGGUCACCCGUGCUGCUUGGGACGGGCUCCUCAGGCUCCGUGGGAUGCAGCCCCACCGGCGAGGGGAGGCCCAGGGACUAGGAGGGCGUCUGCUGGACAUUCCAUGUCCAGAGGCAAGCCGUGACGGUGGCCCUGCUCCCUGGAGGCCGGCUUGGCCUCGUGGUCACCUGUCCACCCUGUGCAGACACAUUUGCCUGAGCAUCACUGUCGGCCCUGGGGCGGUGUCAGGUUUCUCUAGGUAAAUGCCGAGCUUCUGCCCUCGGGGGUUCUUGACAGGGUAUGGAAAUAGGGAC